rnacentral:rRNA from 1 species
GACGAACGCUGGCGGCGUGCCUAACACAUGCAAGUCGUGCGAGAAAGUUCCUUCGGGAGCGAGUAAAGCGGCGCACGGGUGAGUAACACGUAGGUAACCUGCCCCCCAGUCUGGAACAACUAGAGGAAACUCUAGCUAAUGCCGGAAUGAGACCACGAUCCCUUCGGGGUUGCGGCCAAAGAUGGCCUCUACUUGUAAGCUAUCGCUGAGGGAUGGGCCUGCGGGCCAUUAGCUUGUUGGUGAGGUAACGGCUCACCAAGGCUGUGAUGGCUAGCUGGUCUGAGAGGAUGACCAGCCACACU